ensembl:lncRNA
CUGACUCAUUUGAAAAGACCCUGUUGCUGGGAAAGAUUGAAGGCAGUAUGACCAGGGAAUGUCAGAGGACAUUGGUAAAGAAUCCGCCUACAGUGCAGGAGACAUGAGUUCGAUCCCUUGGUCAGGGAGAUUCCCUGGAGGAGGGGAUGGCAACCCACUCCAGUGUUCUUGCCUGGGAAAUUCCAAGGACAGAGGAGCCUGGUGGGUCACAAAGAGUUGAACAUGGCUCAGUUCCUAAACAACAACAAUACCCCUGGGGCAGCAUGUGCAGGCUCUUCUUGCAGUUCCUAGAACCAGCGUUGGAAUCAAGAUGUCUCUUGAUUCCCUGCUCGCCUACCUCGUCCCCUCCCCCAUCCCAGUGCUUCCUUAGUUACACUUUAUCAAGACUUACCCUUUGGACUGGGUUCAUAGGAACACCCCAAUUCUUCCUUUGAUGAGGAGAAGCAUCCUGACAGUCUGUGAGAUAGUGAGAAGUUCUUAUUGUUCCUGAAAAUACAAGUCCAGUCCUUUGAGGUCCUCCAACCAACUGAAAUACAGAGAAGCCUGGUUGUCAGCCUGGAUCCAGAAAGUGUAAUUAUUUGUCUCUGGGGCCACAGAGAACCCACUGAGCUGUGCUCUGGAAAGCAGAGGAACACAGAGAAAG